rnacentral:rRNA from 1 species
AGAGUUUGAUCCUGGCUCAGGAUGAACGCUAGCUACAGGCUUAACACAUGCAAGUCGAGGGGCAGCAUGGUCUUAGCUUGCUAAGGCCGAUGGCGACCGGCGCACGGGUGAGUAACACGUAUCCAACCUGCCGUCUACUCUUGGACAGCCUUCUGAAAGGAAGAUUAAUACAAGAUGGCAUCAUGAGUCCGCAUGUUCACAUGAUUAAAGGUAUUCCGGUAGACGAUGGGGAUGCGUUCCAUUAGAUAGUAGGCGGGGUAACGGCCCACCUAGUCUUCGAUGGAUAGGGGUUCUGAGAGGAAGGUCCCCCACAUUGGAACUGAGACACGGUCCAAACUCCUACGGGAGGCAGCAGUGAGGAAUAUUGGUCAAUGGGCGAGAGCCUGAACCAGCCAAGUAGCGUGAAGGAUGACUGCCCUAUGGGUUGUAAACUUCUUUUAUAAAGGAAUAAAGUCGGGUAUGGAUACCCGUUUGCAUGUACUUUAUGAAUAAGGAUCGGCUAACUCCGUGCCAGCAGCCGCGGUAAUACGGAGGAUCCGAGCGUUAUCCGGAUUUAUUGGGUUUAAAGGGAGCGUAGAUGGAUGUUUAAGUCAGUUGUGAAAGUUUGCGGCUCAACCGUAAAAUUGCAGUUGAUACUGGAUAUCUUGAGUGCAGUUGAGGCAGGCGGAAUUCGUGGUGUAGCGGUGAAAUGCUUAGAUAUCACGAAGAACUCCGAUUGCGAAGGCAGCCUGCUAAGCUGCAACUGACAUUGAGGCUCGAAAGUGUGGGUAUCAAACAGGAUUAGAUACCCUGGUAGUCCACACGGUAAACGAUGAAUACUCGCUGUUUGCGAUAUACUGCAAGCGGCCAAGCGAAAGCGUUAAGUAUUCCACCUGGGGAGUACGCCGGCAACGGUGAAACUCAAAGGAAUUGACGGGGGCCCGCACAAGCGGAGGAACAUGUGGUUUAAUUCGAUGAUACGCGAGGAACCUUACCCGGGCUUAAAUUGCAGAUGAAUUACGGUGAAAGCCGUAAGCCGCAAGGCAUCUGUGAAGGUGCUGCAUGGUUGUCGUCAGCUCGUGCCGUGAGGUGUCGGCUUAAGUGCCAUAACGAGCGCAACCCUUGUUGUCAGUUACUAACAGGUUCCGCUGAGGACUCUGACAAGACUGCCAUCGUAAGAUGUGAGGAAGGUGGGGAUGACGUCAAAUCAGCACGGCCCUUACGUCCGGGGCUACACACGUGUUACAAUGGGGGGUACAGAGGGCCGCUACCACGCGAGUGGAUGCCAAUCCCAAAAACCUCUCUCAGUUCGGACUGGAGUCUGCAACCCGACUCCACGAAGCUGGAUUCGCUAGUAAUCGCGCAUCAGCCACGGCGCGGUGAAUACGUUCCCGGGCCUUGCACUCACCGCCCGU